CUUUGUCUACACUUUUGGAAA
rnacentral:siRNA from 1 species